UCAGUUCGUCGGUGAGGAUGUUGGUCCGUGGAACAGGAAGGUAGCUUUCCGUCGAGGGUUGGUGUGUAGAAUUAAUUUAGGAGCGGCUGUAGUGUUGGGUGAUUUCUCGUCUGCACGGAGGACACUUGGGCCGUUGUUCCAGGUAAUGAGUUCGAGCAAAGGCGGCGCUCCCGAUUUCGUCGGCAAUGGAGUUUCUAAUGCUGCCGAUAAGCAGAUUCCCCCUGAUAGAGGAUGUGGAUGAAAGGGCACCGCCGCUGAAUCUGGUAGUGCGCGACGCCGCCGCAUCGAUGGUGGGUGCGGCCGUGCGGGGGUGGUGGAGCCAGCCGGCGGAGCGUGCGGGCACAUCUGCGAGGGCCAACUAGGCCAGGAUUCCCUCAAAAAAAAAAACUAGGCCAGGAUGGGCGGCGGGAGUCGUCGCCGCAGGCAUCCGAACUAUCCAUCGGGAAGAUGAACAAGUAGGCUCCUCGCUCGACUAAGAGGUACGACCUGCUGAUGAAGAAUCCCUUUCUGUGAUUUCCUGGUUUGGUUUUAAUAAAUCGAGCGACGAUGUUUGAACUGAAUUUGUGAGCAAUGCAAUGUGUGUCGUGUGGUUUGUCGUGCAGUGGAACUAUUUUUGUGGAUGUCAUACGAUACGUCCGGGGAAUUUAGUCCAGAUGGAUAUGUGAGUAUGUGGGUGUAUGAAUAAUCAGUCUACACCUGUGUUACCCCAGACAGGAUUUGCAAUUAGUCUGGUGCAGGAGAACACAUGUCGUCGAUGAUGACAAUAAUAUGAUAUGUCUGAUCCGUUGGAGCUGGAGUUUCAAUGUCUGCAUCCCGGUAUAAGUAGAUGGAUGAGAGAUAUGCAGGGCAGCAGGCAAAAACUGUUUUCUGGUUAGCAAAGCACAUGUGUGGUGCAUUGAUGAGUUGCUGAUCAGAUGUAUUGGUACUGACUGUUGGAAUUUUUAUUGCAUGGUUGGGAUUGGAGCAGCAGCCCGUUGUCCUUCGUGGGUAAUCGCAUUUGAGAAACCGGUUAGGGAUGUCGAUUGUUUUGUGAGCAAUCUGUGUGAGUUUGUUGGUGUAUGGAUAAUCAGUGUAUGAUCCUGCGCUAACCCUAUACAGUAUUUGCAUUUAGCCUGAUGUAGGAAAACACAGAUCGUCGAUGAUGACAAUAAUAUAGCCAUGUUAGCUAUGGUAUAGGUUGGUCGGUGAUCAGCAGACCCGUUGGUGCUGGUGUUUUGAUGUAUGUGUCGUGGUAUAAUGGCAUGGUUGCAGAGAUGUGCAGCACAGGGAUGAGACGUGAGGCGGAAGGCCUCGCCGCAGGCAUCGGAAUUGUCCACGGGGAAGAUGAACCUGCAGGCAUCUGAUUGGGCUAAGAGGUGCGUCCCCAUUAAUGUCAGUGUGUAGUUUUCAAUUUUUCGCUGGCAUGGAGCAGGUUUGCAUGAAUAGGUUUGGGAAUCUGGUAAAUUUAUUAGACUGAGUUCUGGUGGUCAUGGUAGUGUGAAAUGGAUUAUCAGACGUGGAACCCCUAGUAAACUGGUCUGGAUGCAGCGUUUAAACUUUUUAGAGAGAAUUUAACCAUGGUCAUGGACACGUAUAGUGAAUAGGGCGUUCAUAUUUUGUAAGACAGUUGGGAAUGUCUGGCGUUUAAUUAUCGACACAGAAAAUAGAGAAGUAAAAUUUUGAAUUUGAUGCAAUUUUCUGUUGAUCUUCAGAAGUGAGUAAGUGCUACCUGUAAUGAACUUUAUUAGUAAUUUGAUUGCUGAAGAUAAGCCGGUCUGCUGUAAGUUGUAAUAUAUGUGGCUAGACUUCCUCGGACAUGGCCUGUGGAAUUAUAGUGUGAUAAUAAUUAGCAAUGGAUUGUCAGAUUUAAAUCCCGUAGUCUGAACUGGUAUGGAUGCAGCGUUUAAUUUUCGAGAGAGAAGUUAUCCAUGAUCAUGAAGACGUGUAGUGAAUAGUGGAUUCUAUUAUGUAAGACAGUUGGGAAUGUUUGACGUUUAAUUAUCAAUACAGGAGAUAGAAAAUCAAAACGUUGAACCUGAUGCAAUUUUCGGUUAAUACUUCAGAAUUGAGGGAAUGCUACCAGCAAUGAAAUUUCAGAGUAAUUUGGUGGCUGAAGAUAAAACGGUUUCCUAUAAGUAUUAAUAUAUGUGGCAAGAAUUUCUGAUACAUGGCCUUUGGCCUGUGUAUAGGAUAGGUGCAUCAGCCCCUAGCAGGACACCAUGCCCCUCCUGUGUGAGGGGUGUGAGGGGCUAUGCAGAGAACCCUUCAGAAACUCUGAGUGUGCCGACUUUAGGUACAAGCUUUUACUCGCUCGGAGAGCUUUUGAUUCCUACAACUUAUAUUCCUGGAGAAAUGUUUUGUAAUAAGACAUGGAAGAGCAGAUUGAAUGUGGAGGGAACAAAUGCAUGCAAGAAAAUCGUAUGUGGGUGCUCGGGGGAAGCCGGUGUAGAGAACAACUUGCCCGACACGGGCGACGUUCCGAAACUGCCAAGAAAGCCAAGACGAUCCAAGAAUUAUUGUGUUGGAGAGCAUCGGAAGAACAGUUGCACGAAGACAAUGGAAAUGAGAUUGCCCUGUUUCUAAUGCGCUGUGUUGUGAUGUCAAAAAAGCUAGUUUUCUUUUUCUUAAGUGUGAGGCUAGUGCCAUUAGAACUAUGAGGCUGGCGUUUGUUUAGGUUUGUGAUUGCAAUUGUUGUAACUGUAGUGUGAUUUGAUGCUGGCCCAGUGGGCGCCUUGUUGCAGUACGAGCCCUGAUUAUAACAUUUGUUGGAGACUGAAAAAUUAUA